rnacentral:rRNA from 1 species
AACGAACGCUGGCGGCAGGCUUAACACAUGCAAGUCGAACGAGAAAUAUUCUUCGGAAUAUGGACAGUGGCAGACGGGUGAGUAACGCGUGGGAAACUACCCUGUAGUAAGGAAUAACUGAUGGAAACGUCCGCUAAUACCUUAUACGCCCUUCGGGGGAAAGAUUUAUCGCUAUAGGAUGUGCCCGCGUUAGAUUAGCUAGUUGGUGAGGUAAAAGCUCACCAAGGCGACGAUCUAUAGCUGGUCUGAGAGGAUGAUCAGCCACACUGGGACUGAGACACGGCCCAGACUCCUACGGGAGGCAGCAGUGGGGAAUCUUGGACAAUGGGCGAAAGCCUGAUCCAGCCAUGCCGCGUGAAUGAUGAAGGCCUUAGGGUUGUAAAAUUCUUUCGCUAGGGAAGAUAAUGACGGUACCUAGUAAAGAAGCCCCGGCUAACUCCG